AGAGGUGCGGGUAUGUAAAGGCACCGCUGGCUGUGUUAUGUGUGUGUCAGCGCUUCCUCUAUUUCGGUGUUGUGCGGCGGGUCAUUAUAUUGUUGUUUUCCAUGAGAAGCGAUGGAACUGAACUGUGACAAGCAGCAGCCUAUCUUUCCAGUCCUAAAUAAAGGUGGCGGAGAUCUCGAAUAUGUGCCGACGACCGAGCAAGCGCCCUCUCCCCUUCCACAAUUAUUUUUCAACCUGUUCUCCACUACAGAAUUCUGCAGCAGCAGUUCUUCGAAACCAAAGUUUUGAGAGCCCUUAUAUAUGCGCAAGAUUUUUUUUAACACUUUUACAGUGUGAUGCCUUGGAGAUGCAUUCUGAGUUGUCACAAAUUGUCUGAGCAUUUUUAUAACAUCUUUUUGCCUUGUCAUAACACCUGAAAUUUCUCACAAGGAUUGUCAUCGGGUCUGUAAAACAGUAAAUGCGUGUAUAGUCAAUACAGCAUUUCAUUAGAAACAUGGGUGUGCAUUUUUAUUAAAGGCACUUCUAUAUUGAAUUAGUGUCCGGGUCAAGCAAGAGCCCCCCUUCCAGAUCAUCUUUCUGCGUCGAGGGGGUGAUUUCUCGGGAUUUUACAGUAGUAUGAAGUUAAAAGUAGUGCUUGGGCCAAUGUGCAUCUUUCACUUUAAAGUACUAAGAACCUAGAAGCUUGUACCCCUAUGCAAAGAGAAGAAACACAGCAUACCAAAUACGUUUGCAACGUUUCAAGUUUUAGUUCACCAUGGUGAAACUCGCAUGUCCAUCAAACAAGUUGUGCAAAUGAGGGCAAUCUUCAGCCAUGUGUAGCCUUUGAGCUUGUGAGGACACACUUCUCACGUUGCCAGUCAUAGUCAGCAUGGCUAUACGCUUUCGUCCUUUAUGAAAGGGAAAACGUGAACACCUGGACUGCGCUCAGCGGCGACUGGCUACAGUACCAUCCACCUACGACUGAAGAAAGCGUGCCUGCUUCUGUUUUUAUCAGCGCCUAUUCAACGGCCAUAAAUCAGUAUUUUGUUUGCCAAUAGAUGCCUUCAAAAGAAAAUGUGCUUUGUUUAGCGGUUGUUUUGGUUGUUCCAAUUCAGUUAGUAAAUAAUGGUAAGAUAGUACCGCCACAAAAACUGGACAUGUCUAUUAUUUUGUUGCAGUGAGUCGCUAAUGACCCAGUUAUCUUGACUGCAAAUCUUUUUUAAUGGAGCGCACAACAGUUGAAUUGUUUAAAGAGAUUUUCAUAGUGCUCUGCUCGGGCGUAUGAACGUUGCCUUACAAGAUACCACAGUGCUGCAGACUUGUGAAACUGCAAAUUUUUUUUUUGCUUGUUGGAGAAAAGCUGUGCAUGGGCUCGUUAAAAUGUACAUGUAAUGGGUGUCUGUUGCA